GUAGUCUCGCACAGAUGCAUAUCAAUAAGCGGAGGAAAAGAAACUAACAAGGAUUCCCUUAGUAACGGCGAGUGAAGCGGGAAGAGCUCAAAUUUGAAAUCUUGCAAGGUUUUACCUUGACGAAUUGUAGUUUAAAGAAGUGUUUUCUGUUGAAGUUUUGGUAAAAGUUCUUUGGAAUAGGACAUCAUAGAGGGUGAGAAUCCCGUAUUUGACCAUUAUUUUCAGCUGUGUGAUACACUUUCAAAGAGUCGGAUUGUUUGGGAAUGCAGUCCAAAAUGGGUGGUAAAUUUCAUCUAAAGCUAAAUAUUGGCGAGAGACCGAUAGCGAACAAGUACCGUGAGGGAAAGAUGAAAAGAACUUUGAAAAGAGAGUUAAACAGUACGUGAAAUUGUCAAAAGGGAAGCGUUUGACACCAGUGUUGUUUUCUCGAAAAUCAAUUAAAAAGAGUUAGAUUUUGUUGUGUAUUGACCUUAACAGCUUGCAUUUCAAUUUUCUUGCUUUUUUUAAUGCACUUUUCGUUUAACAAGUCAACAUCAGUUUCUUUUGUUGUAAAAAGGUCAUUGGAAGGUGGCUUUCUUUUCGGAGAAAGUGUUUAUAGCCUUUGACUCCUGCAAUCGGAGAGACUGAGGUCUGCAGCGUAGAUCCUUCGGGGUUAGAUACAUUUGUGCUAAGUUAUAGCUUUUUAUAGACAACUUGUUGACUAUGAUUAGUCUUGUAGCUUACUCGCUUAUGCUAUUUUACCUACGCUUAGGAUGUUGAAGAUGUAGCACAUCAU
rnacentral:rRNA from 1 species